GGCCGCCUGGCGUAAUGGCAACGCGUCUGACUACGAUUGAUUGUUCCUCAUGGUGCGUUGUAAUCAGGAGAUUGCAGGUUCGACCCCUGCGGUGGUCA